rnacentral:rRNA from 1 species
AGAGAAGCUUGCUUCUCUUGAGAGCGGCGGACGGGUGAGUAAAGCCUAGGAAUCUGCCUGGUAGUGGGGGAUAACGUUCGGAAACGGACGCUAAUACCGCAUACGUCCUACGGGAGAAAGCAGGGGACCUUCGGGCCUUGCGCUAUCAGAUGAGCCUAGGUCGGAUUAGCUAGUUGGUGAGGUAAUGGCUCACCAAGGCGACGAUCCGUAACUGGUCUGAGAGGAUGAUCAGUCACACUGGAACUGAGACACGGUCCAGACUCCUACGGGAGGCAGCAGUGGGGAAUAUUGGACAAUGGGCGAAAGCCUGAUCCAGCCAUGCCGCGUGUGUGAAGAAGGUCUUCGGAUUGUAAAGCACUUUAAGUUGGGAGGAAGGGCAGUUACUUAAUACGUGAUUGUUUUGACGUUACCGACAGAAUAAGCACCGGCUAACUCUGUGCCAGCAGCCGCGGUAAUACAGAGGGUGCAAGCGUUAAUCGGAAUUACUGGGCGUAAAGCGCGCGUAGGUGGUUUGUUAAGUUGGAUGUGAAAUCCCCGGGCUCAACCUGGGAACUGCAUUCAAAACUGACUGACUAGAGUGUGGUAGAGGGUGGUGGAAUUUCCUGUGUAGCGGUGAAAUGCGUAGAUAUAGGAAGGA